rnacentral:rRNA from 1 species
CAGUCGCCGCGGUAAUACGGAGGGGGCUAGCGUUGUUCGGAAUUACUGGGCGUAAAGCGUACGUAGGCGGCUUUGUAAGUUAGAGGUGAAAGCCUGGUGCUCAACACCAGAACUGCCUUUAAGACUGCAUCGCUUGAACGUCGGAGAGGUGAGUGGAAUUCCGAGUGUAGAGGUGAAAUUCGUAGAUAUUCGGAAGAACACCAGUGGCGAAGGCGGCUCACUGGACGACUGUUGACGCUGAGGUACGAAAGCGUGGGGAGCAAACAGGAUUAGAUACCCGAGUAGUCCCUGUCUCUUAUAC